rnacentral:sRNA from 10 species
AUGAAGCUCUUUUGGCAAAAAUCCAUCAAUGGUUCUUGAUUCAUGAAGAAGCAUGGAUUAACAGUGUGAGAGGGUCCUCACCCCUCACACUCCACCACUUCCAACAGUUUGUUUUGGUUUUAGCUAUUGGCUUCUGUAAUCACCAAGGGAUAGCAUACAUAGUAUUAAUCUCUAUGACUAACAGAAGCAUAUAAGCAUUCUCCAUUGGAGCAAAGGCUUUCUUUGGCUACAGCUAGGGCAAGCCGGCAAGUCAUCACAAAAAGGCAUGGACUCCAUUAGGGGUCCU